ACGGAAGGCAGCAGUGGGGAAUAUUGCACAAUGGGGGAAACCCUGAUGCAGCGACGCCGCGUGAGUGAAGAAGUAUUUCGGUAUGCAAAGCUCUAUCAGCAGGGAAGAAAAUGACGGUACCUGACUAAGAAGCCCCGGCUAACUACGUGCCAGCAGCCGCGGUAAUACGUAGGGGGCAAGCGUUAUCCGGAUUUACUGGGUGUAAAGGGAGCGUAGACGGUUCUGCAAGUCUGAUGUGAAAGGCAGGGGCUCAACUCCUGGACUGCAUUGGAAACUGUAGAACUAGAGUGCCGGAGAGGUAAGCGGAAUUCCUAGUGUAGCGGUGAAAUGCGUAGAUAUUAGGAGGAACACCAGUGGCGAAGGCGGCUUACUGGACGGUAACUGACGUUGAGGCUCGAAAGCGUGGGGAGCAAACAGGAUUAGAUACCCUGGUA
rnacentral:rRNA from 1 species